rnacentral:sRNA from 1 species
AAUUACUUAUAUCUAAAUAUAUUUUUCAAUGAGUUACUUCAGAUUGUUGCUCAGUUUAUGUUUGCUGUAAUAACUAACAAUUCAUAGGAUUUAACAUUCCUUCACUGUUUGGUUUUCAUAUUUGAUGUUUUUGUUCCAAAAGAAAGUCCUAGAAAUCUGGAGACUUGUAUUGAAUUUGAUUUACAAAACUCGUUUAUUCUCCAAAUGUUGUUAUUUAAUUUACAAGUAAAUAUAUUUGUAUGUCCAGUAAUAAGCUUUAAUCAUUUCCAGAAUUCACUAACAAUACGCAUGCGUCAUAUUUACUUGUAAAUGCGAAUUUUUCAAGUUCUUAAUCUGGACAUUGCUGGCUAUAACUUUUUUAUCCUUGGUUCUUCACAUCAUCUUUACUUGCAAAUUGGGAAUUCGAAUAUCUUGUGCAUAUGAAUAUAUCAGAUACGAUUGUUAUUGAUGUUAAAGGUUUUCGUUUUGUGCAGUUUUUGCUUUUGAGCUUUAAUUCUUCCUUUCUUGUUUUUGGAUUUAUAACCCUCAACGUUUAGAACCUAGUUUUCUCAUGUUCCAAUCAUUUUGAAUAUAUCAGACUUACUUGAACUUGUUUAAAGGGAAAUAAAUGGGAGAUAUUAACAUUUGGAGUGUCUUGUGUUCUUUUAUUGAGGUUAAUCAGGUUAUAUUAAUAUGUUACAGUCUGUUAAUUCCAUAUUUUAGUGCCUUUUUUGAGUUCUGUUAAUUCCAGGCUAAGUUAAGGUGUUAUAAUUCAAAGACCAAAAUGAUGGUUUUCUCUUUCAGUUGUAUGGAGAUGUCUGUUGUGUGACAGCAUAUCAAGUCUGCUUGAUUCUUCAGACAAUGUGAUGAUUAUUUACAUCAAGUCUAUGGUUGAAGAUGAUGACAAGGAAGUGGUUGCUCAAGCAUGCACUAGUCUGGCUGAUAUCAUCAUAGAUUAUGGUUUUGCAACUCUUGAGCCUUACUUGGCACAGCUUGUUGAUGCAACUUCAUUGUUGCCUCGGGAGCAUUCUGCUU